CCUACGGGAGGCAGCAAUAGGGAAUCUUCCACAAUGGACGAAAGUCUGAUGGAGCAACGCCGCGUGAGUAAAGAAGGGUUUCGGCUCGUAAAGCUCUGUUGGUAGUGAAGAAAGAUAGAGGUAGUAACUGGCCUUUAUUUGACGGUAAUUACUUAGAAAGUCACGGCUAACUACGUGCCAGCAGCCGCGGUAAUACG
rnacentral:rRNA from 1 species